rnacentral:rRNA from 15 species
GAGCGAUCCGUGAGCUGAGUUUAGAGCGUCUUGAGGCAGU